UAAAAUUUUAUAUUUAAUAUAAUAUAAUAAUAUAUAAAACGUUUAUAAAUUACAUGAUAUUUUAGCCUUUGUGCUUCAUAUCAAUACCAAAAGCAUAUAAAGAAAGUAAAGAUGCAACUUUACAGACAGUUUGUAAACGACAAUCACAGUUAAACGAUUACAUAAACACAACGUGUGGUGAAAGCACGAGGUCUAAAAUCAAGCAAACCUCUACUCUUUUAAAAUCAUUUAAUGAAAAUGAACAAGAAAUUAUUUUAAGUAAUUCAAAUAUUUCAAAAACCAAAAUAUCUGCUGAAGAAAUUAUAAGUUUAAAAGCUAACAUGAGCAAUACUUAUGCCAACAUGAAAAUACUAUCCAGGUAUUUUCACACAAAUAAAAUUAUUAUAUAAAAACCCAGAAAAAAAUAAAUUAAAACACUCACAACCUUUUCAAAAAAAUAAAAUGCACUACUGUUUUAGGUAGUUGAAAACCAAGAACGUCAUUUGUGCUUCAAACGCACAACAAAGAUGUGUGGCUAAGAAGUAGUCAUGCGAUGAUCUUAUUAUUGAAAAAGCUCCAUUUAUGGUUGAAAAAAAGGAGUCCAAAGGUUCUUUUGAAAUAAAAGAAUUGCCAUGCGCUUAUAUCAACAAUUUGCAAGGACAUAUAAUAAAUGUGCUAGAUAGUUUAGACAGAUAAAAAUAAAUUUUAUUUAUAAAAAUUUAAAUCAGAAAUUGAUUUGUUGCAAAACACCAUUUGGAGGUAAGAAUGCUAAAACCAAUUAAAUCAAAAUAUUACAACAAAAUUAUUUAUGUUGUUUAGGAUUAGUUUUAACCUAUAUAAUUACUUUCAAAUGUAGAGAAAAACAGAUUUGUGUGUUUUUAUUCGGUAAUUACAAAUUCUUGUGUGCAAUCUAUGGAAUAACUGGUGCAACUGGUAAGUAAAUAUUUAAUCUAUAUAUCCAUUUAAAAACUCGCACAGAGCAUAUUCCUGCUAUAUGAUUGAUUUUGUUUUCUAAGUAUUUAAUUGUUUGAUAACUUCAGGUAGACAUGCAUGCCUGUUAUGCAACAUCAAAAGACAAGGAAUGUCAACUCAUAUUAAGAACAACAUUGAAAUGCGAUCACUUGAGACACCAGAUUCACAAUUAGAAAAAUUUUAAAAUCAUGGUUCAGAUCCCAAGUUUGCCAAGUUAUGUGAUAAUGUUAUUGAUCAAAGGUUAUUUAAUGUGCCACUUGAUCAGAUCGGAAUUCCAGCAUUACAUAUCUCACUUGGGGCGUACUUAAAAUUUUUCAACAUGUUAGAGGAGUCUUGUCAUACAAUUGACGUCAAAAUUGCAGGUCAAAUGGCAGUAAACAACCAAACACUUGACUGUGAAGAGUUUAACAAAUAUAUUGAGAAGCAACAACAAAUAAAACAACUUCAGAUAAGUAUUCAGGAUCUUGAAGAUAAAACACGAAUCAUAACAGAAGCACUUGAAACUCACAUAUUAUCUAACCCUGAAAAAGAAGAAUAUAUGAAGUUAUUAUUUUAACCACACAUAAUUCACUUUAAAGUGAAAAAAAAAAAAGGUUAAGAUUUUUAAUUUUAUUGUUCCCUAAAAAGAUAUAUCAUUAAUAAUACAUUUUGCUAUGAGAAUCAAUCACCAAAUUUAUAUUCAUAGAUCUCAGAAUUGAAAAUACUGAAAGACACCGACCAUGUAAAGAUGUCAUUUGGUCCACUAGGAAAUAAACUCGACGAGGUACUUAAUUUGUUAGGAGUGCAAAGACAAGCUUACCAUGGCAAAAGUUUUGUUGGUAAUCAUGUUAACAAGAUGUUAAAGAUGAAAAGUAUUCUCAAACUAUGCAACUCAAUACCAAAACUUGUAGUCAAACUUGGGUUCACUGAUACAGACAUACACAAAGAAACUAUUGAUUUUUGUCAGAACUUUAAAGUCCUAUUUAAAAAAUUUGGAGUUUGCCACAAGCUCAUUAACUCCUGCAACGAAGAAAACAUUCAAAAUCUUGAAAAUCAAAUUGAAGAUUUUAUGAAGUACUUCCAUGACAAUUGACCAAAUAAUUCAAUUACACCUAAGCUUCAUAUGCUUGAAUAUCAUGCAUCGUUUUUCAUUAGGAAAUGGGGAGUAGGACUUGGCACUCAUGGAGAACAGGGUGCAGAGAGUAUUCAUGCUGAAUUCAACAGCAUGAAAAGUACCUACUGGCACAUGAAAGGAACACGUAAACUUAAAAGUAUAAUGGAUGAGCACUUCUUAAAAAACCACCCAACUGUAAAAAAAUAUCAACAAAAAGCUCUGCCUAAGAAGAGAAAAAUUUCAGAUAAUUAAAAUAAUUUGAAAAAACAUUGCAAAAAGGUUUUCAGACAUUGCAAAAGGUUUUUCAGAAAAUAAAUGAGAGCAUUAGGGCGUAAAUGUUAUUUCUGUCAGUAUUUUUAAACCUUCAAUUAAGAAGAAAACUUAUCAAUUUUUAAAAGCAUGAAAUUAUAACAAAAAAAAGUUACCCAGUCAUAAUUUUUGCUUUAA
rnacentral:lncRNA from 1 species